UCUGCCGCGGCCGGGAAGUUCGAACAGAAGUCUGGGGAAGAGCCGGCGAAGAGCAAAGAGAUAAUACAGUACUCCCAGCUAUAGCAAGCGGCAGUUAUGGAGCAUGCGCAGCAGCAGGGGCGGCCGCAGUCAAGGGAUUUGUACAGCCCUGUAGGAGACACCUCCAGAGAAAGUAACAGCUCUCAAUUGAUUAGCUGAGCCAGAAUUAGCUUCUGUUACUUACAACUGUGAGUCCUGACUGAAAACAUAUUUCUUCCUUUGAAGAACUGUUACCUGUAACAGGCUAAGAAGAAUAUUAAGAAUAAACAGAUGCUUUUACAGCUCGCCUUGGCGGGAAGAUCUGGCACAAAUGAAGUAUCUAUAAGGAGCAGCAGAGUCAAGGUGGUGAUCCUGUGGAUGAAUAACUGAAACCUGAUAUACUUGACAGCAGAAAAUAUAAAGCAAAUUGAAAAGGAGAGAGUGUGGAGAUAAAUAAGAAAAUGAAAGAACUGAUAAAGUCACUUGGAUUAAAAAACCUGGGAGUAAGGGCUUUGUUUAUGAUUGAACUUAAGAGAGAAUUGAGGGACCACCUACCUUUGAUGUUAACGAGAAAGUAAAGAGGAAACAUAUUUAGAGAUA
rnacentral:lncRNA from 1 species